UCCAGCCUGGCGUCGUGGUUUGAGCGUUGGACUACGAUUCUGGAGACCAGGGUUCGAUUCCUUGCUCUGCCA